rnacentral:rRNA from 1 species
UCAAUCUCGUGUGGCUAAACGCCACUUGUCCCUCUAAGAAGUUAACGCCGACGCAUAAGGAUCGGCGAACUAUUUAGUAGGCUAGAGUCUCGUUCGUUAU